rnacentral:lncRNA from 1 species
AGAUACAUUGAUGGUGUUAGUUUCACCAAAAAGAUGUUAGUUUUUGAUUUCUAGGCAUUUCCAACCUUCAAAUCGGAGUUGAGCUGCGAAUUAUUGAGGACCCUUGAUCUUGGUUAGAGAUUUUCCGAUUUGAUGGUGGAGAUGUGUCCACCACUUUUGGGGCUCCUCCCACCUGAUUAAGAGGGCUUGGAUGACUGAGCUCCCUCUCUCUCUCUCUCCAUCUUCUUGUGGUG